UCCCUCUUAGCUCAGUUGGUAGAGCGCGUCACUAGUACUUUCUAAAUGACGAGGUCAGUCGUUCAAGUCGGCUAGAGGGAA